rnacentral:tRNA from 3 species
GAAUAGCUCAGUUGGUAGAGCAUAACCUUGCCAAGGUUGGGGUCGCGAGUUCGAGUCUCGUUUCCCGCUCCA